rfam:Sodalis praecaptivus strain HS1, complete genome.
UAAUUGAAGAGUUUGAUCAUGGCUCAGAUUGAACGCUGGCGGCAGGCCUAACACAUGCAAGUCGAGCGGCAGCGGAAAGAAGCUUGCUUCUUUGCCGGCGAGCGGCGGACGGGUGAGUAAUGUCUGGGGAUCUGCCCGAUGGAGGGGGAUAACUACUGGAAACGGUAGCUAAUACCGCAUAACGUCGCAAGACCAAAGUGGGGGACCUCGGCCUCACACCAUCGGAUGAACCCAGAUGGGAUUAGCUAGUAGGUGGGGUAAUGGCUCACCUAGGCGACGAUCCCUAGCUGGUCUGAGAGGAUGACCAGCCACAUGGAACUGAGACACGGUCCAGACUCCUACGGGAGGCAGCAGUGGGGAAUAUUGCACAAUGGGGGAAACCCUGAUGCAGCCAUGCCGCGUGUGUGAAGAAGGCCUUCGGGUUGUAAAGCACUUUCAGCGGGGAGGAAGGCGAUGGCGUAAAUAGCGCCAUCGAUUGACGUUACCCGCAGAAGAGCACCGGCUAACUCCGUGCCAGCAGCCGCGGUAAUACGGAGGGUGCGAGCGUUAAUCGGAAUUACUGGGCGUAAAGCGUACGCAGGCGGUCUGUUAAGUCAGAUGUGAAAUCCCCGGGCUCAACCUGGGAACUGCAUUUGAAACUGGCAGGCUAGAGUCUCGUAGAGGGGGGUAGAAUUCCAGGUGUAGCGGUGAAAUGCGUAGAGAUCUGGAGGAAUACCGGUGGCGAAGGCGGCCCCCUGGACGAAGACUGACGCUCAGGUACGAAAGCGUGGGGAGCAAACAGGAUUAGAUACCCUGGUAGUCCACGCUGUAAACGAUGUCGAUUUGAAGGUUGUGGCCUUGAGCCGUGGCUUUCGGAGCUAACGCGUUAAAUCGACCGCCUGGGGAGUACGGCCGCAAGGUUAAAACUCAAAUGAAUUGACGGGGGCCCGCACAAGCGGUGGAGCAUGUGGUUUAAUUCGAUGCAACGCGAAGAACCUUACCUACUCUUGACAUCCAGAGAACUUGGCAGAGAUGCCUUGGUGCCUUCGGGAGCUCUGAGACAGGUGCUGCAUGGCUGUCGUCAGCUCGUGUUGUGAAAUGUUGGGUUAAGUCCCGCAACGAGCGCAACCCUUAUCCUUUGUUGCCAGCGAUUCGGUCGGGAACUCAAAGGAGACUGCCGGUGAUAAACCGGAGGAAGGUGGGGAUGACGUCAAGUCAUCAUGGCCCUUACGAGUAGGGCUACACACGUGCUACAAUGGCGCAUUCAAAGAGAAGCGAUCUCGCGAGAGUCAGCGGACCUCAUAAAGUGCGUCGUAGUCCGGAUUGGAGUCUGCAACUCGACUCCAUGAAGUCGGAAUCGCUAGUAAUCGUGGAUCAGAAUGCCACGGUGAAUACGUUCCCGGGCCUUGUACACACCGCCCGUCACACCAUGGGAGUGGGUUGCAAAAGAAGUAGGUAGCUUAACCUUCGGGAGGGCGCUUACCACUUUGUGAUUCAUGACUGGGGUGAAGUCGUAACAAGGUAACCGUAGGGGAACCUGCGGUUGGAUCACUCCUUAC